UUGGAGGGCAAGUCUGGUGCCAGCAGCCGCGGUAAUUCCAGCUCCAAUAGCGUAUAUUAAAGUUGUUGCAGUUAAAAAGCUCGUAGUUGAAUUUCGGGACCAAUUUGUUGGUCGUGCCUCGGUACGUACUGGUAUUAUUGGUUUCUCCCUUCUGAGAACCUUGAUGUCAUUAAUUUGGUGUCUUGGGGAAUCAGGACUGUUACUUUGAAAAAAUUUAG
rnacentral:rRNA from 1 species